rnacentral:lncRNA from 1 species
ACUCACUUUUAAUGGACUUGUUCAUUUACUCAUUAAUGUUGCAUUUGGGAAUACUUGCUAUUUAUAGGACACUGUGGUAGGUAUUAGAUUAGUAGCAGAGAACAACAUAAAUUCCAGCUUUUUGCUCAUGGAGCUUACAGUGUACUAGGAGAAACAGACAUUACAUAAUAAUUGGUUACUUUCAAAGAUUACUCUAGCCAUUCUGUGAAGAAUAAGUUGGAUAGGCCAAGACUAGAAUUAAGAAACCCAAUUUUCAUGAACAUUUAAAGGUCUAAGUUGUGGACCAGAUGAGGCAGCUAAAACACAGAGAAAUGGAUGGUUGUCAGCCAUCUCUGUGAUGUUUCCCUCUUCCUCCAUUUCCACUUGGUACAUAUCUUCUAUUGGUUACAGCCAAUCACUCACACAACAACCACCCACUGCCCAACCACCACCACCACCACUGACGAGAUGAUGCCCACAGCGGUGUUUCCAACAACAGCCAUGACUACACCUGACCUCUCAACCACAAGACCACUUCAGAUGAGAGCUGCGCUCUCAGGCAUGGCCUCCACAUGCUUUCUGACAAGCUCACUUCCUGAGGAAGACACGACACUGCUGACCCUUGAGCCUUCCACCGAAAAGCCCAUUCUCCCCGCAGAAUCAGAAAGUGUCCUCCCCAGGACCUCUCAGAGAAGCACAGAGGCGAUUUCAGGAGACACUGCCUUGCUCACAUCCAAGGGUAUGUGGAUGCGGUUCUCUUUCUUUCCUCUCCCCUUAGAUUGAGGGGGAAACACUGAACAGAGUGUCACCGAAUCAGAUGGCUAGAGAUGACUGUUGGGUCCUAUGUGGUGAAGCCCACCUGGGACACACUGGUGUCAAGACUGUUUGUGGCUUAUUCCUCCUAUGGAUUUUAGAGGGUAAGAGAGACCAUUGACCUUGAUUUGUUUC